UACGGGGGGGGCAAGCGUUGUUCGGAAUUACUGGGCGUAAAGGGCUCGUAGGUGGCCAACUAAGUCAGACGUGAAAUCCCUCGGCUUAACCGGGGAACUGCGUCUGAUACUGGAUGGCUUGAGUUUGGGAGAGGGACGCGGAAUUCCAGGUGUAGCGGUGAAAUGCGUAGAUAUCUGGAGGAACACCAACAGCGAAGGCAGCACUCUGGGCCGGUACUGACGCUGAGGAGCGAAAGCAUGGGGAGCGAACAGG
rnacentral:rRNA from 1 species